UGCGACCAAAAUUAGCUUGUGGUAAUAGCCUACUGUAACCGAAAAAAAUAUACAGGCAUUCAAUUACAUGAUUCAAAUAAUGCAUAUAUGAUGUAGAUUCAUCGAACAUCAAAGUUUGCAUAGCCAAUAUCCAUCACAAUAAACUGUAAUAUAAUUUAGCAUGCAUUCAAUAUACUGAAUGUGCCAUCCUAAUUAAGAGCGAAGAUUAAAUUGUCCGUGGUCUAGAGUCCAUUCCAGCUAAAUCUUUGGAUCCUGCUAUGAAGAAAUCAGAAAUUUAUUUAGCUCAAGUUAAUUGAAAAUAGAAAAUACUUAGUCAGGAAAAUAAAGAAACAACACAACGACUAAAUAGCAGAAAGAUAUAACCACUAUCAUGACAAUUGUAUAAUUACUAUAUUCGUGCAUGCAUGAGUAUCUUCCUGACGAAUUGUCAUGACCACAACAGCUAGCAAGCAAAUUCUUGUGCCUGUUGUACUACUCCAUCAACAAUUAGGUGCUAUGCAAAAGGAAAUGGAUAAUUUCACAAAAGAUUUUGUAGUUCAAACACAAGAAUAAUUACCUAAAUUAAUCAAACAAAAUUUCUCCAAAACAACUACAUGCUCGCACAAGUUCACAAUUUCUAAUGGUGAGAAAACUGUUCUAUUUCUGGCUUCCCUACUGUAUGUGCUUCAGCAACAAAAAGAGUAAAAUAGUGCAAGCAAGUAGAUGAUUGCACAUUAUGAAGGCCAUUUACGUAUCAAAUAUUGGCCAUGAAGACAAACCAAGCUUGUGACUUACCAUUGCUCGAAACAUUCGAGAAUUCAUUGUUACAACUUGUAUGAGCGUAUUUGGAGCAACUACAUUGUGCCUUGUACCUAGAGUCCCAGUAGUACUAGCGGUCGGUCUGUAAAAGAGAAUUUUGCAAGUUUGGAUUCCUAUUUUAUUUGCCAGUCCUUUUCUUAGGCAUCUGCAAAUAGAAGUGCACUUUUAGCAAUGCAAGUAAGCAAAUAAAUCUGACAAGUUCGCAAGCAUAUGACUAUAAUCACCUGAUGUGUUUGCGUCUGUUAGAUCACCAGCAGGAUCUUGCGUUGAAUUCAUCAUUGUGCCCUUCUGUACGUAAUAUCAUAAUUUGAGUCAAUUUCAGAAGAAAUGCGAUACUUAAAGCAGUCAUAAAAAAUAUCUAUUCAAGUCUAUACUGAAG
rnacentral:lncRNA from 1 species